AAAAGGGUUAAAAACUAAUUUAGGUCAUUACCAGUUUUAUGGAUUGAAAUGCGUGAUUCAGAUUCCGAUUAUAUAAAAUCUGAAAAUGGAAAGUAGUUUUCCGUAUCAAUUUCAACCUCAAACCUGAAGUUUCCUACAGUUGCAAUCCGAAAUUCAAAAUGGGCCUCUUCAAAAUGCAUCAUCUACUAUCUGCUCUCUCUCGUCAUUAUUUUUAAACGGUUUAUCUUUUAGUAAAAAAGGAAAUGAUUAUCGAAAACUAAUAUUAUUAGAAGAGAUUAAACAAAAUAAUCAAACUAUAAUUUUUCUUCUGCAACAAUUAUCAGCACAACAGCAGCGUGGUAAUAUAGAAACAAGGUUUGAUGAGUUUGGGCUUCCUGUUUCAUAAAUGGAACAUUUACAAAAACUAGAAACAGAUUGCCUUGACAAUGACCUCCGAGGAAAGCGAGGAAGAAGGAAUAAACUAUUAUAACAAAUCUAAAAACAAUUAUAAC